AACCAGCACCUCAAGUGGUCAGGAUGAUUAUUGGGCCUAAAGCAUCCGUAGCCUGUUCUGUAAGUUUUCGGUUAAAUCUAUGCGCUCAACGUAUAGGCUGCCGAAAAUACUGCAGAACUAGGGAGUGGGAGAGGUAGACGGUACUCGGUAGGAAGGGGUAAAAUCCUUUGAUCUAUUGAUGACCACCUGUGGCGAAGGCGGUCUACCAGAACACGUUCGACGGUGAGGGAUGAAAGCUGGGGGAGCAAACCGGAUUAGAUACCCGGGUAGUCCCAGCUGUAAACGAUGCAAACUCGAUGAUGCGUUGGCUUAUUGCUAGCGCAGUGUCGCAGGGAAGCCGUUAAGUUUGCCGCCUGGGAAGUACGUACGCAAGUAUGAAACUUAA
rnacentral:rRNA from 1 species